rnacentral:rRNA from 1 species
UACAGAGGGCGCGAGCGUUGUCCGGAAUCACUGGGCGUAAAGGGCGCGUAGGUGGCCACCAUAAGGCCGCGGUGAAAGUUUGGGGCUCAACCCCAGAUCGGCCGCGGCGACGUGUGGGGCUGGGGCACUGUAGAGGCAGAUGGAAUUCCGGGUGUAGCGGUGGAAUGCGUAGAGAUGGGGGAGAACACUCGUGGCGAAGGCGGCCAGCUAGACCAGUUCUGACACUGAGGCGCGACAGCGUGGGGAGCAAACAGG